UCGCCUACGGGAGGCAGCAGUGAGGAAUAUUGGUCAAUGGCCGGAAGGCUGAACCAGCCAAGUCGCGUGAGGGAAUAAGGCCCUAUGGGUCGUAAACCUCUUUUGUCAGGGAGCAAAGGCGUCCACGUGUGGACGAGAGGAGAGUACCUGAAGAAAAAGCAUCGGCUAACUCCGUGCCAGCAGCCGCGGUAAUACGGAGGAUGCGAGCGUUAUCCGGAUUUAUUGGGUUUAAAGGGUGCGCAGGCGGAAGAUCAAGUCAGCGGUAAAAUUGAGAGGCUCAACCUCUUCGAGCCGUUGAAACUGGU
rnacentral:rRNA from 1 species